rnacentral:rRNA from 1 species
UUGAACGCUGGCGGCAUGCUUUACACAUGCAAGUCGAACGGCAGCGGGGGCUUCGGCCUGCCGGCGAGUGGCGAACGGGUGAGUAAUGCAUCGGAACGUACCCAGUCGUGGGGGAUAACUACGCGAAAGCGUAGCUAAUACCGCAUACGCCCUGAGGGGGAAAGUGGGGGACCGCAAGGCCUCACGCGAAUAGAGCGGCCGAUAUCUGAUUAGCUAGUUGGUAGGGUAAAGGCCUACCAAGGCGACGAUCAGUAGCUGGUCUGAGAGGACGACCAGCCACACUGGGACUGAGACACGGCCCAGACUCCUACGGGAGGCAGCAGUGGGGAAUUUUGGACAAUGGGGGCAACCCUGAUCCAGCCAUUCCGCGUGAGUGAAGAAGGCCUUCGGGUUGUAAAGCUCUUUCGGCAGGAACGAAAAGGUUAGGGUGAAUAAUCCUGAUUGAUGACGGUACCUGAAGAAGAAGCACCGGCUAACUACGU